GAUGAACGCUAGCUACAGGCUUAACACAUGCAAGUCGAGGGGCAGCGGGAUUGAAGCUUGCUUCAAUUGCCGGCGACCGGCGCACGGGUGAGUAACGCGUAUCCAACCUUCCGCUUACUCGGGGAUAGCCUUUCGAAAGAAAGAUUAAUACCCGAUGUUGCGUAUCUUUCUCCUGAAAGAUACGCCAAAGGAUUCCGGUAACCGAUGGGGAUGCGUUCCAUUAGGCAGUUGGCGGGGUAACGGCCCACCAAACCUUCGAUGGAUAGGGGUUCUGAGAGGAAGGUCCCCCACAUUGGAACUGAGACACGGUCCAA
rnacentral:rRNA from 1 species